AGGACGAACGCUGGCGGCGUGCUUAACACAUGCAAGUCGAGCGAGGCUCCUCCUUCGGGAGGAUGCCCUAGCGGCGAACGGGUGAGUAACACGUGGGCAACCUGCCCCUAGCACUGGGAUAACCCCGGGAAACCGGGGCUAAUACCGGAUACGACUUCGGAAGGCAUCUUCUGAAGUGGAAAAGGUUACUGGCUAGGGAUGGGCCCGCGGCCUAUCAGCUUGUUGGUGGGGUAAUGGCCCACCAAGGCGACGACGGGUAGCCGGCCUGAGAGGGCGACCGGCCACACUGGGACUGAGACACGGCCCAGACUCCUACGGGAGGCAGCAGUGGGGAAUUUUGCGCAAUGGGGGAAACCCUGACGCAGCAACGCCGCGUGGAGGAUGAAGCCCCUUGGGGUGUAAACUCCUUUCGAUCGGGAAGAUAAUGACGGUACCGAUAUAAGAACGCCCGGACUAACUUCGCGCCAGCAGCCGC
rnacentral:rRNA from 1 species